rnacentral:rRNA from 1 species
UACGGAGGGUGCAAGCAUUAAUCGGAUUUAUUGGGCGUAAAGGGGGCGUAGGCUGGAUUGUAAGUCAGACGUGAAAUCCCGGGGCUUAACCCCGGAACAGCGUUUGAAACUACUUUUCUUGAGGAUAGACGGAGAAAACGGAAUUCCACAUGUAGCGGUGAAAUGCGUAGAUAUGUGGAAGAACACCCGUGGCGAAAGCGGUUUUCUAGUUUAUUCCUGACGCUAAGGCCCGAAAGCUAGGGGAGCAAACAGG